rnacentral:miRNA from 1 species
GGGACGGAAGUCUGAAAGGGAGU